rnacentral:lncRNA from 1 species
UGAAAAGUGCCUACCCCUGGCCUGGGAUGCUUCCUCCUGGGAUGCUCCCACUUGGAACCCAACUAUUGUGCUGCAGAAGUUUAACUUAACUGUGUAAGGAGGCCAAGAGGAGGCCCUGGCUGCCAGCCAGCAUCAACUUCCAGUGACGUGAGUGUGCCAUUCUGGAACUGGAUCCUGCAGCCUCGGUGGAGCAGCCUCAGCUGAUGCCAUGUGGAACAGAGAUGAACUGCCGCUGCCGAGCUCUGCCCACGUUGCAGAAUCAUGAGCAAAUAUGUUGUGGAUUGGCUGUAACUCUGCUCUGGGAUCCAGGCUGAAGGAGCAGGCUCUAUCUGGAACAUUACUAGUCUCCAGGCAGAAGAAAAAGAGACAAUGAAGAAGAAAUAAAACAAACUUCUACAUGGCAAAAUAAACCUCUACAUGGCAAAAUAAACCUCUACAUGGCAAAAUAAACCUCUACAUGGAUAGAGAUCUGUCUCAGACACAUUUUGGUUUCCAUGACUUCUGAAUGGCAGCAUGAGGAGCUCCAUGAACCCUCUCCCCAGUGAAAUGACCAUAAUCUCUGGAAAUUGCUUAAGAUCAAAGCCACAACUAUUUAAAGCCUUUGGAAAUUGUUUUAUGGGGAUGCGGCAAAUUAAUAAACUUUUAUUCAAG